UUGGUCUUCAGCCCAGAGCUUUCUCAAUGGCCAGCGCUGGGUCCAGGAGCCAGAGAGCACUACGGGGACCACUUGGUUGUUUGCACACUGGUGAACUGAGCCCUUCAUCAAAGCCUUCUUGGACACACAUGAGCCAUCUUGCUGUUCCCAUCUGCAUUUUGAAGCCAAACCCCCUGUGACCUGGGGCAGAAGAUCAUGACUGAUCAGUGGUGGCUUCCCAGGAUGAGGCACAUCCCUAAGGUCAACAUCUGCACACAAGCAGCAACAUGGCGGUUCCCUCAACCACCAGCAAUGCCUUGUCCCAGCCAGGGGAGCCAAGCACCGGAAUACACCAGGAAUGCUGCAGACACCUCAGAACUCUCUGUCUUCUAAAUGAAGAAUGAGCUUUUCUUCCG
rnacentral:lncRNA from 1 species